UAAACCCAUAAAGAAAGAAAAGCCCAAGAUGAACUUAGUUCUGAAACUGUUAAGAUUGCAGAACUGUAGAAAGCUGAGGCCGACGGAACCAACAUAUGCGAAGAAAAGGCAGUACAGAGCAGCAAAUAUUGGUGCAGGAAUGGAUGCAAAAACUGCUCCAAACUUCCCUAGAAUGGAAAAGAAGAUCAUGAAUCCUGCUGAAAUUUGUACAACUCUCCUGCUACCAACACGUGUCAACGCAAGCAAUCCAGCAUUUUCAACUGACACCGUAGACCCAUUAGCUGUUCCAAAUAAUCCAUCCAACAAAAUACCGAUUCCCUGCCAACCAAUACCACGACUGAGAAUUGAAGGAGGCAACGGUGUGGCACUAGCAUAUCUUGAAACCGCAAUGAAUGUACCAGUAGACUCCACAAGAGCAACAAAGGAAGCAGCCAUCAUUGCAAAGGCUUCACCAGCAUCAAACGAAGGCGGCCCCCAUUGAAAAGGAUAUGGAACGCGUAUCCAGGGAGCUGAACCAAUAAGACCAGAUUUAUCAGUACGGCAAUGUGCUUGUGUCUUCGGUGCUGCGUGCUUAUAUGCACCCCCAACCGUAAGAAAGUAUGCAUAUAGCCACACAAUUGCCACUGUGAAUAUGACAGCGAAACGAUCGAAGAUAGGUCUCUCAGCGUGUAUAGCGUGGGGUAUGUACUGCGAGAACAUUACUAGCAAAAUUACCAUCGGAAGUCCAAUUUCAAUACACUUUGCAACCCCGGGAAAGGCCAGCUCAUACAGCCCAAAACCAGCUAAGGCCACUAGAGGGACUGCUGAUAAAGGACUCAGAAAUCUAGUCACAUUGCGCCAUAGCCCACUGAAGCCAAGAAGGAUUUGAAGAAUUGAAGCAACAAUUAGCGCCCCUUGAGUCCCACGCAUGAUGUGCCGGAAUUUCUCAUGCGGAUCCGCAAUAUCACUGUAACGACUAGCCAAGAUGAUAGAGAUCGUGGGCAAGGCGAAUGUAUACGAUCCUCCGAUCACAGCAGGCAGGCGAGUUCCAAAGAAGGAUUGCAACAGAGUAUUGAUACCGGCUACAAACAGUAAUGUUUGGAUCACCCUCGCUUUCUCAUCAUUCCCCCCUCCCAUUUGAGGAACAAGGGCAGUCGGGAUGAUAACAGUCGUGCCGAGCAUAACCAGGUAAUGUUGGAAUCCAAGCAGAAUCGCUUCAGGCCAUGGUGGAGGGCUGGUGAUGCAGUAGUGCACAUUGGGUAGCUGAUCCUUCACCGGAUGCGGCUGUAGCUCGUCCGCCUUCACCGCCGGCGCCGCCAUAACUCCGACCACAACCCACCAACUAAAAUUCUACAACCAACCCAAAAUACCCACUUCUCUCAAGAACCCAAUUCACAGCUCCCACCGGCAAAAAGAUGAAGCUCACCCCCACUCACCAAAAGAGCAAAACCCCAAAAGAAAGCCAAAGCCAAAUCAGAGUGAUCCAGAGGCAGCUGUAAGGGCUCACU
rnacentral:misc_RNA from 1 species